rnacentral:misc_RNA from 1 species
AUGGAAGAAGCUCUCCCUCACGUUCUCUCUCUCCAUUUAUCUCCCACGCGCGCAGCUUCCUUGUCUUCAAUUUCCUGGCAGCGGUGCUCCUCUCCCUCGCCGUGCAGCUCCCGCGCGAGCUCCUCUGCUGGCCGCUGCUGCUCGGCUUCCAGCUCGCCAUGUCCAUCUCCCUGCUGCCGCUCGCCCAUAGCGCCCUCGCCUUCCAACAGCCAGCGACGCCAGCCCUCUCCCUGCUUGCAUUCGUACAGAACCGCGCAGCUCCUGUGCUGAGCUCUGCAGCCGUGCUUCCUCCAACAGCAGCUGCGUCACCAGGCCCUCAACGUCGUGCUGUGCGCUGGGACAGUCCAUAGCUCGCCUGCGUGCCCAGCCGUCUCGAAUCAUGUCGUCGAUUCUCGGCACCGCGAGCUCACCUUCCCUUACACACAUCUCUACAGACACUGCCUCAUCACGCGUCUGCGUCAUCGAUUUCGUCGUCGUUCCUUGCGUUAUUAAGAAAUCCCAAGAGUUAGAUGAAACACGAAGCUAGCAGCGUGAAAUUUACCAAUGUGUCUCGGAGAAGAAGAAGGUGACGUUCCGAUGCGUCACUAAGUGUUCGAUCAAAGACUUCAAUCGGAGCUUGUCAUCGUUCUUGCAAAUAUUGAGUCGAUAUUGAUUAUGGUACGUUAAUUGAUCGUGUGAUGCGGAAGACGAGCCAAGUCGACCACAAGAUGUCGCUACGCGUGAGCUUCUCCACAAGAUGAUGCUGAUGGACGAACCUGAAGAUGGAUAAUCUGAACGAGUGUCAAGACAAAGGAUGGUCGUCAAGUGGACGUCAUCUAACAAACACUAACGCAGUGUUUAUUCUAGGCAAGCCCCGGUGCAUGCAAUCCCUUUCCUUGUGUUUUUAAAUGAUUUUUACACACUUUAAGUCUAGCGAAAUGUGC